rnacentral:rRNA from 1 species
AUUGAACGCUGGCGGCAGGCCUAACACAUGCAAGUCGAGCGGAUGAAGGGAGCUUGCUCCUGGAUUCAGCGGCGGACGGGUGAGUAAUGCCUAGGAAUCUGCCUGGUAGCGGGGGAUAACGUCCGGAAACGGGCGCUAAUACCGCAUACGUCCUGAGGGAGAAAGUGGGGGAUCUUCGGACCUCUCGCUAUCAGAUGAGCCUAGGUCGGAUUAGCGAGUUGGUGGGGUAAAGGCCUACCAAGGCGACGAUCCGUAACUGGUCUGAGAGGAUGAUCAGUCACACUGGAACUGAGACACGGUCCAGACUCCUGCGGGAGGCAGCAGUGGGGAAUAUUGGACAAUGGGCGAACGCCUGAUCCAGCCAUGCCGCGUGUGUGAAGAAGGUCUUCGGAUUGUAAAGCACUUUAAGUUGGGAGGAAGGGCAGUAAGUUAAUACCUUGCUGUUUUGACGGUACCAACAGAAUAAGCACCGGCUAACUUCGUG